rnacentral:rRNA from 1 species
AAUAUUGGGCAAUGGAGGGAACUCUCACGCAGCGACGCCGCGUGAGCGAUGAAGGUUUUCGGCUCGUGAAGCUCUGUCUUUCGGGAAGGGGAUGUUAGGAUUUCACGGUACCCCAGGAGCGAGCCCCGGUCAACUACGUGCCGACAGCCGCGGUAAUACGUAGGGGGCAAGCGUUGUCCGGAAUUAUUGGGCGUAAAGGGUGCGUAGGCGGCCUUUUAAGUCAGAUGUGAAAGACCACGGCUUAACCGUGGGGUUGCAUUUGAAACUGGAGGGCUUGAGUAUCGGAGAGGGUAGUGGAAUUCCCAGUGUAGCGGUGGAAUGCGUAGAUAUUGGGAGGAACACCAGUGGCGAAGGCGACUACCUGGACGAAAACUGACGCUGAGGCACGAAAGCUAGGGGAGCAAAC